GACGGGGCCCGCACAAGCGGCGGAGCAUGUGGAUUAAUUCGAUGCAACGCGAAGAACCUUACCUGGGCUUGACAUACACCAGAUCGGCGCAGAGAUGCGUUUUCCCUUGUGGUUGGUGUACAGGUGGUGCAUGGUUGUCGUCAGCUCGUGUCGUGAGAUGUUGGGUUAAGUCCCGCAACGAGCGCAACCCUUGUCUUAUGUUGCCAGCACGUGAUGGUGGGGACUCAUGAGAGACUGCCGGGGUUAACUCGGAGGAAGGUGGGGAUGACGUCAAAUCAUCAUGCCCCUUAUGUCCAGGGCUUCACACAUGCUACAAUGGUCGGUACAACGCGUGUGCGACACUGUGAGGUGAAGCUAAUCGCUCUAAAGCCGGUCGUAGUUCGGAUUGGGGUCUGCAACUCGACCCCAUGAAGUCGGAGUCGCUAGUAAUCGCAGAUCAGCAACGCUGCGGUGAAUACGUUCCCGGGCCUU
rnacentral:rRNA from 1 species